AGCAGCCCCACGUUGGGCGCCAAAUUGUAGCCAUGUUUAUACAGUUCGGCUCUGGGCUGCUGCUCAAGACGACACAAGGCAAUGGUGAUGAAAUGAAUUUUAUUAUGUGAAGAAUGAAGCUGUUGCUGAGGUCAAACCUGAGAAGGGAAAGAAUGUUUCCAGCUCAGCAACAGCAAGUGGAGUCAUAAAAAUUAAACUCAAGAAUUUAUAAAGUAAAGAGGCAGAUGGAAACAGAUUAGAAAAAUGGCCAUACCUGAGAAGGGAAAGAAUGUUUCCAGCUCAGCAACAGCAAGUGGAGUGAGGUGGAAAACAGGUGUCCAAAGGAUGUAAGGUCAGAGGACAAAAUAGCCAAUUAGAAAGUAGGUAGCACAUCAAAGGAAGUCUUUGAUGUGACCUAUUAAUA